rnacentral:rRNA from 1 species
AGCGAACGCUGGCGGCAGGCCUAAUACAUGCAAGUCGAACGGAUCCUUCGGGAUUAGUGGCGGACGGGUGAGUAACACGUGGGAACGUGCCCUUUGGUUCGGAACAACUCAGGGAAACUUGAGCUAAUACCGGAUAAGCCCUUCGGGGAAGGAUUAUCGCCAUUGGAGCGGCCCGCGUCUGAUUAGCUAGUUGGUGGGGUAAAGGCCUACCAAGGCGACGAUCAGUAGCUGGUCUGAGAGGAUGAUCAGCCACACUGGGACUGAGACACGGCCCAGACUCCUACGGGAGGCAGCAGUAGGGAAUCUUGCGCAAUGGGCGAAAGCCUGACGCAGCCAUGCCGCGUGAAUGAUGAAGGUCUUAGGAUUGUAAAAUUCUUUCAGCGGGGACGAUAAUGACGGUACCCGCAGAAGAAGCCCCGGCUAACUUCGUGCCAG